rnacentral:rRNA from 1 species
UACGUAGGGUGCGAGCGUUAAUCGGAAUUACUGGGCGUAAAGCGUGCGCAGGCGGUUGUGUAAGACAGGCGUGAAAUCCCCGGGCUCAACCUGGGAACUGCGCUUGUGACUGCACGGCUAGAGUACGGCAGAGGGGGGUGGAAUUCCACGUGUAGCAGUGAAAUGCGUAGAGAUGUGGAGGAACACCGAUGGCGAAGGCAGCCCCCGGGGUCGAUACUGACGCUCAUGCACGAAAGCGUGGGGAGCAAACAGG